AUUGAACGCUGGCGGCAUGCUUUACACAUGCAAGUCGAACGGCAGCGCGGGCUUCUGCCUGGCGGCGAGUGGCGAACGGGUGAGUAAUGCAUCGGAACGUGCCCAGUAGUGGGGGAUAGCCCGUCGAAAGCCGGAUUAAUACCGCAUACUACCUGCUGGUGAAAGCGGGGGAGCGAAAGGCCUCGCGCUAUUGGAGCGGCCGAUGCCGGAUUAGCUAGUUGGUCGGGUAAAGGCUUACCAAGUCGACGAUCCGUAGCUGGUCUGAGAGGACGACCAGCCACACUGGGACGGAGACACGGCCCAGAGUCCUACGGGAGGCAGCAGUGGGGAAUGGUGGACAAAGGGGGCAAACCUGAUCCAGCCAUGCCGCGUGCGAGAAGAAGGCCUUGGGGUUGUAAACCGCUUUUGUUCGGGAAGAAAUCCUCUGGGCUAAUACCCCGGGGGGAUGACGGUAACGGAAGAAUAAGCACCGGCUAACUACGUG
rnacentral:rRNA from 1 species